GAACAGGGGUGACACCACCAGGUUUAUUGGGAUGGAGCUGGGGGACCCCAAAACCGCAGGGACAGUCGGACGGAGCGUCAGUCGGACAGAGGGACAGACAGGACAGUGUCACUGCACUGUGGCCAUGGGCUCAUGAUGGUCACUGCGGUCAGGAACUGUCCCCAGGGUGGUCACUGUGGUCACUGUGGUGGUCACUGCGGUCAGGAGCUGUCCCCAGGGUGGUCACUGUGAUGGUCACUGUGGUCAGGAGCUGUCCCCAUGGUGGUCAUGAUGGUCACUGUGGUGGUCAUUGCUCCAUGGUGGUGUCCUCAUGAUGGUCACUGUGGUCAGGAGCUGUCCCCAUGGUGGUCACUGUGGUCACUGUGGUCAGGAACUGUCCCCAGGGUGGUCACUGUGGUGGUCACUGCUCCAUGGUGGUGUCCCCAUGG
rnacentral:lncRNA from 1 species